rnacentral:rRNA from 1 species
AUUGAACGCUGGCGGCAUGCCUUACACAUGCAAAUCGAACGGUAACGGGCCUUCGGGUGCCGACGAGUGGCGAACGGGUGAGUAAUACAUCGGAACGUGCCCGAUCGUGGGGGAUAACGAGGCGAAAGCUUUGCUAAUACCGCAUACGAUCUACGGAUGAAAGCAGGGGACCGCAAGGCCUUGCGCGGACGGAGCGGCCGAUGGCAGAUUAGGUAGUUGGUGGGAUAAAAGCUUACCAAGCCGACGAUCUGUAGCUGGUCUGAGAGGAUGAUCAGCCACAAUGGGAGUGAGACGCGCCCCAGCCCCCUAGGGGGGGAAGCAGGGGGGAUUUUUGGACAAGGGCCGCAGGCCUGUUCAAGCAUUGCGGCUUGCAGGUUGAGGUCCUUGGGGUUGUAAAUUGUUUUUGAAGGAAACAAAAACCCUUUUUUAAAAAAGGGGGGUUCAUGAGGGUACCGAAAAAAAAAGCCCCGGCUAACUACGUG